UACGUAGGUGACAAGCGUUGUCCGGAUUUACUGGGCGUAAAGAGCGCGCAGGCGGUCGAUCAAGUCGAGUGUGAAAGCCCCCCGGCUCAACUGGGGAGGGUCAUUCGAUACUGAUCGACUCGAAGGCAGGAGAGGGUAGUGGAAUUCCCGGUGUAGUGGUGAAAUGCGUAGAUAUCGGGAGGAACACCAGUGGCGAAGGCGACUACCUGGCCUGUUCUUGACGCUGAGGCGCGAAAGCCAGGGGAGCGAACGGG
rnacentral:rRNA from 1 species